rnacentral:rRNA from 1 species
UGGGGAAUAUUGGGCAAUGGGCGCAAGCCUGACCCAGCAACGCCGCGUGAAGGAAGAAGGCUUUCGGGUUGUAAACUUCUUUUAUCAGGGACGAAUCAUGACGGUACCUGAUGAAUAAGCCACGGCUAACUACGUGCCAGCAGCCGCGGUAAUACGUAGGUGGCAAGCGUUAUCCGGAUUUACUGGGUGUAAAGGGCGUGUAGGCGGGAUGGUAAGUCAGAUGUGAAAACCAGAGGCUCAACCUCUGGCCUGCAUUUGAAACUAUCGUUCUUGAGUGUUGGAGAGGCAGGCGGAAUUCCGUGUGUAGCGGUGAAAUGCGUAGAUAUACGGAGGAACACCAGUGGCGAAGGCGGCCUGCUGGACAAUAACUGACGCUGAGGCGCGAAAGCGUGGGGAGCAAACAGG